rnacentral:sRNA from 1 species
CGGCGGGGAAGACGGGCGGGUGCGGGGCCGCCCCAGGCUGGUCUUUCUUGGGGCCGCCCCCCUUCUACCGGGUGUGCGAGUCUUUGGCUGCUUUUAUUCGGCUCGGGAGCUAAUUCCCCGGCGUAGCCGCGCCGGGGCGAGUCCGACCCCUCCCUCCGGGCCCCCUCCCGGCCGCGCUGCCGCCUCGACUCUGCGUGUGGGAAUGAUGUGCACAUUGGAGGGUCUAAGUUCUUCACGCGCCUGGGGAGGCCUCCCUUUUCUUUCUUAGGCAACCAAAGCGUAUUAAUCCUACUAAUCAGUAAAUCCGAGGCAGCAGCAGGAGAGACAAACGUUAUUUUCCCGCUUGAUUCCAAGAACCUCUUCGAUUUUUAUUUUUAUUUUUAAAGAGGGAGACGAUGGACUGAGCUGAUCCGCACCAUGGAGUCUCGGGUCUUACUGAGAACAUUCUGUUUGAUCUUCGGUCUCGGAGCAGUUUGGGGGCUUGGUGUGGACCCUUCCCUACAGAUUGACGUCUUAACAGAGUUAGAACUUGGGGAGUCCACGACCGGAGUGCGUCAGGUCCCGGGGCUGCAUAAUGGGACGAAAGCCUUUCUCUUUCAAGGUAUGCCCGGCGUGCUGCAUCCCCACUCUGAUUUCAGUUCCGAUAACCCCGGCAGGAGUUGUUCUCGCCGCUUGUCCUAACUUUGUAUUGCCUCAUGGAUGACAGUACUUUAGCUGAGGUGUAGAGGGGCCAGUGUGAGACACAUAUCCCUAUCUCUUUUAAGUGGUUUUUUCUCCCCUGCCUCAUCCUUCUCCUUCGUACUUUGUACUCUUGCCAGUUCUAAUGG